UACGUAGGUGACAAGCGUUGUCCGGAUUUACUGGGCGUAAAGAGCGCGCAGGCGGUCGAUCAAGUCGAGUGUGAAAGCCCCCGGCUCAACUGGGGAGGGUCAUUCGAUACUGAUCGACUCGAAGGCAGGAGAGGGUAGUGGAAUUCCCGGUGUAGUGGUGAAAUGCGUAGAGAUCGGGAGGAACACCGAUGGCGAAGGCGGGAUCCUGGGCCAUUGCUGACACUGAGGCGCGAAAGCUGGGGGAGCGAACAGG
rnacentral:rRNA from 1 species